rnacentral:rRNA from 1 species
GGGCCCGCACAAGCGGUGGAGCAUGUGGUUUAAUUCGACGCAACGCGAAGAACCUUACCCAGACUUGACAUGCAUCAGACAGGUGUGGAAACACACCCUCCCUUCGGGGCUGGUGCACAGGUGCUGCAUGGCUGUCGUCAGCUCGUGUCGUGAGAUGUUGGGUUAAGUCCCGCAACGAGCGCAACCCUUGUUCUUAGUUGCUAACGGGUGAAGCUGAGCACUCUAAGAAGACUGCCGGUGAUAAACCGGAGGAAGGUGGGGAUGACGUCAAGUCCUCAUGGCCCUUACGUCUGGGGCUACACACGUGCUACAAUGGCCGGUACAGAGGGUCCCGAUACCGCGAGGUGGAGGCAAUCCCAAAAAACCGGUCUCAGUUCGGAUUGCAGUCUGCAACUCGACUGCAUGAAGUCGGAAUCGCUAGUAAUCGCUGAUCAGCAGGCAGCGGUGAAUACGUUCCCGGGCCUU